rnacentral:ribozyme from 11 species
CUUCCGCUUUCCUUGAUUUUUUUUUUACUUUCUUUCCUUUCUCUCUCCCGUAUCCCAUCCCACCUCCAUGCACAUCGACCCGAAGGUUGAAGGGGAAGGAAUGAGAAAAUGAAAAUUC